rnacentral:lncRNA from 1 species
UCCCCUCGGCUCGGCCGCCCUCCUUUCACAGCCGCCGGCAUGAGCUCCAGGCCGCCCGCGUCGCUGCCAGCGCGAGGCCCGCGGUUGUUGCUGCUGUCGCUGCUCUUGCUAGGGACGGUCCCAGGCCCGCGCCCGGGCAGCGCCUUCUACCUGCCUGGCCUGGCUCCGGUCAAUUUCUGCACCGAAGAGAAGAAGAGCAACGAGUGCAAGGUGGGGGAGACCUGUCGAGCUGCCCGGGACCGGAGCGGGGUCUGGAAGCGGGAGGGGGCGUAGCUGUAGGUGGGGUGGGAUUCCCGAGCCGUGCCGGGCGGGGGUCCUGCCGGCACUGGGCUCUCUGAGCACUCUGGCUGUCCCUGCGGGCUCGCACUUACAGCUCGAUGUGCCUUGCCCGGACCCCGGAAGCUUUCGGAGCGCCCUUGGACUGGCCUGCAAGCAGGUACGGUGUGACCUGCUGCCCACACGGGGCGCUCCCAGCCGAACGACAACUUCAAGUAACUUAAUUUUAUAGCUCCCUGUUUCAUUGCACUUUACUGGAACUCCUGGUUACGACGGCUUAUUCUCUCUAGGACUUUGAAAUAGAACUUCAAGAUUACUAGUUGAUUACUUAACCUGUGGGUUAUGACACAUUCUAACCCUCAUUAAAAACUGCAUAAGUAAAGACCAGUUGACAAUACUCUU